AGUGAACGCUGGCGGUAGGCCUAACACAUGCAAGUCGAACGGCAGCACAGUAAGAGCUUGCUCUUACGGGUGGCGAGUGGCGGACGGGUGAGGAAUACAUCGGAAUCUACUUUUUCGUGGGGGAUAACGUAGGGAAACUUACGCUAAUACCGCAUACGACCUACGGGUGAAAGCAGGGGAUCUUCGGACCUUGCGCGAUUGAAUGAGCCGAUGUAGGAUUAGCUAGUUGGGGGGGUAAAGGCCCACCAAGGCGACGAUCCGUAGCUGGUCUGAGAGGAUGAUCAGCCACACUGGAACUGAGACACGGUCCAGACUCCUACGGGAGGCAGCAGUGGGGAAUUUUGGACAAUGGGCGCAAGCCUGAUCCAGCCAUACCGCGUGGGUGAAGAAGGCCUUCGGGUUGUAAAGUCCUUUUGUUGGGAAAGAAAAGCAGCAGGUUAAUACCCCGCUGUUCUGACGGUACCCAAAGAAUAAGCACCGGCUAACUUCGUG
rnacentral:rRNA from 1 species